GACGAACGUUGGCGGCGUGCUUAAUACAUGCAAGUCAACUGAAGCAGUGGUAGCAAUAUCGCUGUGGAGGUGGCGCACGGGUGAGUAACGCGUAGGUAAUCUGCCUUCAGGUCUGGCAUAACUCCGGGAAACCGGGGCUAAUAGCAGAUGAUGCAGCGGCUCGACAUCGAGACAGUUGUUAAAGCUAUGGCGCCUGAAGAUGAGCCUGCGUCUGAUUAGCUAGUUGGCGGGGUAACGGCCCACCAAGGCAACGAUCAGUAGCUGGUCUGAGAGGAUGAUCAGCCACACUGGAACUGAGACACGGUCCAGACUCCUACGGGAGGCAGCAGUAAGGAAUAUUGCUCAAUGGGAGAAAUCCUGAAGCAGCAACGCCGCGUGAGGGACGAAGGGCUUUUGCUUGUAAACCUCUGUAGUGAGAGAAAAAAUCCCAAUCUUUGGGACAUGAUGGUAUCUCAAAAGUAAGCCCCGGCUAACUACGUG
rnacentral:rRNA from 1 species